rnacentral:rRNA from 1 species
GGCGCGAAAACUUUACAAUGCCGGCAACGGCGAUAAGGGGACCUCGAGUGCCAGGUUACAAAUCUGGCUGUCGUGAUGCCUAAAAAGCAUUGCAUAGCAAGGGCCGGGCAAGACCGGUGCCAGCCGCCGCGGUAACACCGGCGGCUCGAGUGGUAACCGUUAUUAUUGGGUCUAAAGGGUCUGUAGCCGGCCGGAUAAGUCUCUUGGGAAAUCCAGCAGCUCAACUGUUGGGCUUUCAGGAGAUACUGUUCGGCUCGAGGCCGGGAGAGGUGAGAGGUACUUCAGGGGUAGGGGUGAAAUCUUGUAAUCCUUGAAGGACCACCAGUGGCGAAGGCGUCUCACCAGAACGGACCUGACGGCAAGGGACGAAAGCUAGGGGCACGAACCGGAUUAGAUACCCUAGUAGUCC